rnacentral:rRNA from 1 species
GACGAACGCUGGCGGCGUGCUUAACACAUGCAAGUCGAACGGUGAAAGGGAGCUUGCUCCCUGGAUCAGUGGCGAACGGGUGAGUAACACGUGGGCAACCUGCCCCAGACUUCGGGAUAACGCUUCGAACGAGGUGCUAAUACCGGAUACGAACUCCAUGGGCAUCCUUGGAGUUGGAAAGUUUUUCGGUCUGGGAUGGGCCCGCGGCCUAGCAGCUCUUUGGUGAGGUCACGGCUCACCAAGGCGACGACGGGUAGCCGGCCUGAGAGGGCGACCGGCCACACUGGGACUGAGACACGGCCCAGACUCCUACGGUAGGCAGCAGUGGGGAAUAUUGCGCAAUGGGCGAGAGCCUGACGCAGCAACGCCGCGUGAGGGAUGACGGCCUUCGGGUUGUAAACCUCUUUCAGCAGGGAAGAAGCGAAAGUGACGGUACCUGCAGAAGUAGCACCGGCUAACUACGUGCCAGCAGCCGCGGUAA